UGAAUCCGGCCUUAAAAACGAACAUUCAUAAGAAUGUUAUCCUCUUUAUCGAUUGAUACGUAAACAGAUUAGAAUGAAUUAUUAAUAGAAAAAAAAUGAGAUUGUGAACAAAUGUGAGCUAAGCUCUUCAGCAUGCACGAGCGCGUUUCGAGCGCCACGCAUAUGUAUACACUUCGAAUCAGCAAUCAGCUGUGAUAACAUGGCGGACAUGCUGUUUAUCACUCGGUCGAUUUAAAUUAAGACACUAGGGAUCCAGAAACGGAGCCGCGACAGUUAUUUGCAUACACGGGCAGCGUAAACGAUGGUGGCGCGUGUUAACUUGGAUUUUUAAUAGACACGAGAGCACAUUGCCUUUACCUACUGCGUAAGUAUAUCAACCAUGGCAGAAAAAAGGUUAUAUGAGCAACUAGUGUUUACAGUAAUUAAUUCAUUCUAUUAACGUUUGCUGCAUAUCACAAAUAUCUAUCAUUUUUCUCUUAAAGAAAUUAGACUUUCAUCCUGAUCCUUGUAUGUAAAAUCUAAUCACUGCGACACAAAUCAUUUGUAUAGUGCGUAGUUAAUUAUAAAUUAAUGGCAUUGAUUAUAACCUUUUACAAGACAAAGAAUACUGCAAUUAGUGAAAAUUAAUAGAGAGAAUUUUGGUAUGGUAUAUAAGAUUCGACAAAGAGAAUCGAAGAUAAUUGUGAUAUCAAUGCAAUUUUGAGAAAUAAUAAUACAGACAGAGAAACAUAUUCGGUAGAAUUGUUUUGUAAGGAUAUUUUUCUAAUUAUGUUAUUAAACUAUGAGGAUGUAAAAAA